AACCCUCCUGGAUACAAGUCGCAGACUGGGAAAUCUCUACAGGCAAAUGUGAUGUCUUUAUAGUAAUCUCACAAUUACCUAUAGAGAUUCUUCAAUCUGGCAUCUUCAUACACAGUUAACUA
rnacentral:pre_miRNA from 14 species